rnacentral:rRNA from 1 species
UACGAAGGGGGCUAGCGUUGUUCGGAAUCACUGGGCGUAAAGCGCACGUAGGCGGAUCCUUAAGUCAGGGGUGAAAUCCCGAGGCUCAACCUCGGAACUGCCUUUGAUACUGGGGAUCUUGAGUCCGGGAGAGGUGAGUGGAACUGCGAGUGUAGAGGUGAAAUUCGUAGAUAUUCGCAAGAACACCAGUGGCGAAGGCGGCUCACUGGCCCGGUACUGACGCUGAGGUGCGAAAGCGUGGGGAGCAAACAGG